GAUGAACGCUGGCGGCGUGCCUAAUACAUGCAAGUCGAGCGAACGGACGAGAAGCUUGCUUCUCUGAUGUUAGCGGCGGACGGGUGAGUAACACGUGGAUAACCUACCUAUAAGACUGGGAUAACUUCGGGAAACCGUAGCUAAUACCGGAUAAUAUUUUGAACCGCAUGGUUCAAAAGUGAAAUACGGUCUUGCUGUCACGUAUAGAUGGAUCCGCGCUGCAUUAGCUAGUUGGUAAGGUAACGGCUUACCAGGGCAACGAUGCAUAGCCGACCUGAGAGGGUGAUCGGCCACACUGGAACUGAGACACGGUCCAGACUCCUACGGGAGGCAGCAGUAGGGAAUCUUGCGCAAUGGGCGAAAGCCUGACGGAGCAACGCCGCGUGAGUGAUGAAGGUCUUCGGAUCGUAAAACUCUGUUAUUAGGGAAGAACAUAUGUGUAAGUAACUGUGCACAUCUUGACGGUACCGAAUCAGAAAGCCACGGCUAACUACGUG
rnacentral:rRNA from 1 species